AUCUUUGAAGUUUAUAAAACGUUAAUUUGUGGAGUUAAAGAUGUCAACUGACCUGAGAUA
rnacentral:tRNA from 1 species